GUGCACAAGGAGCGGUGGAAGAUCUGCAUUCCUCCUGGACCCAGCACUUACUGGGUGAGCAAACUGGGUCUCUUCCCCACCCAUGUUCCCAUAGUCCGAAGAGCAAGUUUUGGAGUGUGCAGCUGCCAGAGCUGCCACAGGAGCUCUCUGCUGCUGCAAGAGAUACACGAGCUCCGAGGUCUGGCACUGGCAGUACGGCACGCGUGGACCGGCGCCGGCGCGCACCUGGGCGCAGCUCAGAUCGCCCUGCAAAGCAUGCACCAGCAGACCUGGAAACCUCCAUGCCCAAGCAGCAGCUUCCCAUCGCUGUGCCAUGUCUCUGCCCUUCUGUGGGGGAUACACAAGGGGUGAACAGGCACGGGGGUUUUGGGGGAAGUGAACCCCAGCUUCUGUCCCGCGUUUCAACUUCCGUGGCCGACAUCAAACGCGUCGCUGCAGCCCGAGCCCCCACAGGCCUGACGGAGGAGCAAAAAGAGAGGGCUGGAGGCAGCAGAUCCUAAUCUUUAUUAAAUAAGAACAAAGCUUAUGCCGGCUAAUGAGAAAAACAAACUGAUGAAAGAUCCGGCGAGCUCCUCCGAAGGACACAAAGAAAUUC
rnacentral:lncRNA from 1 species